rnacentral:SRP_RNA from 1 species
AGCCAGGACUCAUGCGAACGGACGCCGCCCAACCCCGCCAGGCCCGGAAGGGAACAACGGUAAGCGGAAGUCUGUUGCGCCGUGAUCAUCCUGGUUUCG